rnacentral:lncRNA from 1 species
AACCCCUGAGCCUCCAGUAGCAUGAAGCCAUGUUUCUCUUCCAGGGCUUGAUGUCUCACCAGUAUACACAGAGAGACACUUGGUUCCACCUUGGUUCCUUUGCACUUCCAUGGAAGCCUACACACACAGAGGUGGGCUGACAUGAUUUGAAGUUUGAUGUCUGGAACACAAUAGAUGCCCAACAAAUGCAUGUGCUAUCUCGGAGAGAUUGAUCUCAGGAGCUGGACACUUGAAUUACAAGCAUAUUUCUCCUUGCACACUUUCAUGGGAGGAUCAAAAUGAAUGAGCUAAAAGUUAAAAGAUGAUGAACAUGAUUCUAAGCACAAUGUUAUCACUCCCAAGAGCCAUGUUUUCAUAGAAGAAAGGGCAAGAUUCAGGGGACAGCAUCUUUCUUCUAUGUGAAGCUGUAAAUAACAACCUCUUUGGAUGGAACUCCCGAACCACAGAUGGCGAGGACACAUCAUUUAGGGCCAGCUUAAUUAGUGAUGGACACAUUUCAGUGUUUUUAUUUCUUGGCUAUUUCAUCCUUCAGAAUUCUGUGACAUUUGAUUGCUCCCUCCAUAUGACCAAGGAAGUAAUGGAAACAAAUCACCAGAUUGAUCAACAUACUUAAGAUAAAAGUCUUAAGAUUUAUUUUCCUGAAAUGACUACAAAGUAAUUGUUGAACCUACAGUGAAGGUUUCGGUCGAUAUCUAUUCAAAUCUAAUUUCAGAGGAAAUGUUUUGCAUCUGUCCAGAGAGUCAGAGACUUUCAAGUCUUUUU